ensembl:lncRNA
AACCCCAUUUAUUGUGUAAUUCACUAACACAAAAUGACUGCAAGGUUGUGAGGGAUAUGGACUUGCCAAGUGAUCUUAGUGUCUUUGCAACUGAGCACACUCUACCACCAACAAGGACAGCUCACCAGUGGGAGCUGAUAAUAAGACUGCUCUCAUCCAUUGAAGAGCUGACCAGAAACGUGAACAGAGAGACUGCAACUGCACCUGAUGGGAUCCCUGCCAUAACAGAUGUGUUCUGUCCAGUGAAGGCAGUGGAGAAGCCCUACACUGAUCUUGAAACUGUGCCACGCUAGUAGAGACCGGCUACAAGGAUGGGCAGCUGUUUUCGCAAAGUCAGCCAACCACUUGCUUCCAAAUGACCCUUAUCCAGAAGUAUCCGUGAGUGCCUCAUCAACAGAAACUAAAGUGGAGACCUACCUCUCAGAGAAAAACGCACACAUAAGAAAAGCCGACCCACUUCAGUACUGGAAGAACAUCCUAAUCUGUUUCCCUCUAUGGCUGCUGUUGCGAUCCCAGUGUGCCCCCUGUAGCUCUGUGGACAGUUUUGGAUUUGUUUACAUCUCCCCAACCGGUCGCGGCAGAUGGCCGCCCUCCCUGAGCCUGGUUCUGCCGGAGGUUUCUUCCUGUCAAAGGGAGUUUUUCCUUCCCACUGUCGCCAAAGUGCUUGCUCAUAGGGGGUCAUAUGAUUGUUGGGUUUAUUAUAUACAUUAAUGCUUGUAUGCUUUUCAUUUAUACUUUGCCUUACUCUUCAGUUCAUAAUAUAAAGUUACUUGAAUGGUUUCCUUUUCGUUUUCCUUUUUUAUUUUAUAUUGCUUUGCUAUUUACCACAAUCUAAAUAUCAUGUUUAAAUGUCAUACAUUAUUGUAAAUGGUAUCUGUACAAAAUAUUGUUUGAAUAACAUGAUACAUUUAUUAGUCCCACAACGGGAAAUUUCAUAAUUUGCAUGUGGUAUUUUCCCUUUGACAUUAAAUACCUUUGAAAUAC